UACGUAGGGACCAAGCGUUGUUCGGAUUUACUGGGCGUAAAGGGCGCGUAGGCGGCCAGCACAAGUCAGUUGUGAAAUCUCCGAGCUUAACUCGGAAAGGUCAACUGAUACUGUGCGGCUAGAGUGCGGAAGGGGCAACUGGAAUUCUUGGUGUAGCGGUGAAAUGCGUAGAUAUCAAGAGGAACACCUGCGGCGAAGGCGGGUUGCUGGGCCGACACUGACGCUGAGGCGCGAAAGCCAGGGGAGCGAACGGG
rnacentral:rRNA from 1 species